rnacentral:lncRNA from 1 species
GAUUCGCUUAUGUUUUGAUUCCAUUAAUGAACACAAUAUGUGAUGUGAAGAAAAUUGACAACAAAUGCAAGCAUUGGGAGAAACUUUUUUUGGAAAGUGCUGUUUAUGAAAAAAGCCUAUGCCGAUGUAAUUUUGAAGUUGUGCAAGAGGGCAAUGAAUUUAGACGUUAAAGUACUUACACAAAAACUAAUCUCAAUAUGCUUCAAGAAUUAAUAACAAAAAUAACUUUCAGAAGAUUACCAAUACUUUCUUCCUGCCAUCUUCAAAAUAUUUGAAAAAUUAAUUUACUGUGGAUGAGUGAAAUAAAAACGUUGUUUAAGAAGAAUUUUUACUACAUUUAUAAAGUGUUACUUUAUAAGGCAUAAAAUUGACAGUAAUUUUUGUUUGACAAUUGCUGU